UUCUCUUUGACUCUUGUUUGUUGUUUGUUUUAGUUACUCCCCACCCCCACCCCAGUCUGACCUUUCUUCCACCCUUAGGGUUUUAGAGUUUUUCCCCUUUCCUUUCUUCUCUCCACCUUUCUUUUAAAAAUGAGAAUGAAACCUAAAAUAAUCCCAGAGUUUAUUAGACAAAGUUGCCCUAAAGAAAGACACUCACACAGGAAAUGGAACCUGUGGUGUUUGCUAGGAAAACGCAGAAUUAAAAACAUCAGCGUGAAAGUCGAUCUUCACAGCCGCCCUCGGAGACCAUCAGGACAAGAAAGGACAAAUGAGGUUCAAAGGGGGUGGCCUGAAGCUGCACUGCCUGCUAGCAGGCACUCAACAUGCUUUGUUAGUGUGGCUAUUAUGCUCCCCAGAUUCCAGAAUGUUCUGUGCCACCAAGAGUGUAAACAGAAGGAAAUACCCCUCUGUCUCAUGCACCUUGAUGAUCACGCUACUUAAAGCUAUCAUGUAGUAGAAAGGAACAGAGGAUUCCUAAGUGUGGAUGGCUAGAACUUGAGCAGACCACUUAAGCGACACUGAGCCAAUCUUCUCAUUCCGGAAUUUGUGAAUAGUUUUCUACCACUAGAUUGUAAAGGGUUAAAUGAGAGAACAGGCUAGAAAAGUACUUUGUAAACUGUAAAGUUCCAUUCCAGGUAUGGGGUAGAGGAGAUGUUAUCUGGUUUAGCAGUGGAGUGCAAGAUCAAACGUAGGUUAGAGGUGUGUGGGGGGAGGGGUGUUAAAAAAAGAAACUUAAAAGACCUCCCAGGGAGAGUAGCGAAGUUACAAACUUCCACACUGUUUCCCCUGCAGGGAACACUCACCCGGGCACAAAGGCAGACCCCAUGGGUCAAUCCCACCUUGAACAAAUGUACGCCUUUCCAUUUGCUACAGCUGUCUGGUGGUCAGAGGUGAAGAGCAGACCAGACAGCUGGCAAGACAUGAAACAACGAGAUGUAGGUAUCACCUUAAAAAAAAAAAAAAAAAAGCACCUGUGGGAAAUAGUGUGCGAUCGAAAAGCAGCAGCAAGUGCUUGGGGCAUUUCAGCUGGAAAGUGAGACAGAGGCAGACCCAAGACAGAUGCAACCCACACCCUCCAUCUGCAAUCAGAGUGCCUCACAUGUCAGAAAGCAAGUUGUCCUCCCUCAGGGCAAUCUUGAAGGCUGUCAAUGUUCUAGCCAUGAGAAAACAAAAAAUCUAUAUAGGACAUUCCAACAUGUGGAGGCCUGAUAGGGCUGAAAGGCUCUAUGGGAGUCUAACUAGCGCAUGCUUCUCACUUGGUGGACUGGGGAUGGCGGGUGGGCUUGCUUCACUGGGGAGGGGAGAGCGGUGUCUGAACCUGCCUGGGGACCGGCCACUGCUUCUGAUCUAAGCCAGCAGAGCUGGGCAAACAACCUGGGUUCAAACCCAAUUGCUUCAAUAGCUACAUUGCUUAACUGCAGUGGCUGACAUGACUACCCUCCCACAGCUUCAGUUUCCUGGUCUGUAAAACAGGGGUGGGUGAGUAACAGCACUUUCCUCUGCGAUGGUGCAUGGCUCAGACUAAGUGAUACCUGAUAAGGCAAUUAGGAAGUGCCUGGCACCAAAGCAGCUGUCAAUAAGCAUUGGCUAUUACAGGACUGUUUCAGAAGGGAAGCUCGUUAGCUCAUCUGGUUCCUAAGGUCCAGAGCUGUGUGAAAACAACUAAAAUCUGCCCUGUACCGGCAAGCAUACCAACGGACCUUACACACUCAC
rnacentral:lncRNA from 1 species